rnacentral:misc_RNA from 1 species
UUUCCGUAGGUGAACCUGCGGAAGGAUCAUUACAGAGUUCAUGCCCUCACGGGUAGAUCUCCCACCCUUGAAUAUUUAUACCUUAGUUGCUUUGGCAGGCCGUGGAAACACCAUGGGCUCCGGCUUAUGCGUGCCUGCCAGAGGAAACAAACUCUGUUUUUAGUGAUGUCUGAGUACUAUAUAAUAGUUAAAGCUUUCAACAACGGAUCUCUUGGUUCUG